rnacentral:tRNA from 1 species
UCCAAUGUGGUGUAACGGUCAGCAUAUGCGGCUCUCACCUGCAUGAUCAGGGUUCAAUUCCCUGCAUUGGAG